rnacentral:lncRNA from 1 species
AUAAAGCCCAUGCAUCAGUAGUGGGAUGCAAGAUUAAGAUCCUCCGCAUGCGAUACUGAGAUGGGUUAUAAGGAAGGGAAGUAGGAGCAGCAACCACUUGUAGGUGAUCCUUCAACCAAACCUGAGUAAUGGAUCCUUUAUAUUACGAGGGAAUGGUUUAAAAAGAAAAAAAAAUGAGAAAAGAUAAUAAGGAUAAAUACCUAGAGAAUAAUGGGAGAAACU